GCCCGGCUGGCGCAAUUGGCAGCGCGUAUGACUUCUACUUCGCAGCUCGACUCAGAACGAGGGUUGAGGCGAUAUCUUAAGGUUGCGGGUUCGAAUCCCGCGUUGAGUG